CAAAACGACGCCGGCGGAUUCGCAUCCUGGGAAACAUCCUUCUGUUAGGUGGGUACGCCCCCAUGUUUUCCUUUGCCGUUGGCGGUGUGCCGCCGCGCUAAUUAACUCGGUGUGGCUAAGAAAUUUUGGUCGAAUCGUAUCGACGUGUUGUACACUUUAUAAGGUCGGAGACUAAGUUACAUCAUUUUCAACGAAUCUAGUAUACCCUUUUACUCUACGAGUAACGUGUUUAACUACGUGUUGUGACCUACUAACUUGGACAAAAUGGGUGUUGGUUGCAGUGAUCUGUAAUCCUUGCACUUCAGAUUCUACUUUUUGGUUAUGUUGGUGUCCAGCCCCAUUGAUACUGCUGCCGCCUGUCAUCUGAAUCAUCGAGUACAGAAUAUCCUUAAAGUCUAUCUAUUGGCAAUAGAAUUAAGAUUUUGGACAAUAUAACAUCCUUUGUUAUGGGUACUGAAGGCUGAAGGUGGAUGAAGUCAAAUAAGUCAUUUGAAACAGCUAAAAAUAAGCCAUGUUGGUCUGUCCGUCCGUAUCUCGGGUUUUGAGGCACUCUACAGGCUAGAAAGCUAUAAGAUAAGGUUGCCACUCCCCGAUCCGAAUAACUCCCAAAUCAGGAGGAGGUGUUGAAGGGCAGGGCGGCGCCCUGCUUGCUCAUCGUGUUCAUGCGGCGGAUAAGAGACAUGGUGGCGAAGAAGGCCUUCAGGGUGCAACGCAUGACGCUCAACAAGGUAAAACAUUCCAAAUUCAGGCUUUUAUUUUCAUAGUUAUGGCAAAAAAACUGAUUACUUUAUGACCGAAAUUCGGAAAAUCGUCUUUUGCCAAAAAUUUGAUAUUCAUCAAUCGGAAUUUUCAUCAUAAUUUCGCUAAAAAUAGUCAUAUAUAUGUAAGAGUAACUGUUUUGAGCAGUAAAUUACCAAUGCUAACGAUCCCUAUCACUUUUUGAAGAAUUUAGGAAAAUUAAUUUUUGGGUUAAUUUUUGCAUUUUUUG